rnacentral:lncRNA from 1 species
GCUUCCAGCAGGCUUACCGAGAGAGCAGGGGCCCAGCACCUUGGGUCUCCUCCUCCUAUUUCCUUUGCUCAGGCUCCAGCCGAGGUGCCACCCAACAGUGGAAUGACCCUACCGAAAUGCCAAAGGACCUCCUGGGAGGGACAGGCGCCACAGGGGGCCACAGGGAGAAGGCAUAAGGUGGCUCUUUGGAAGGCAGGAGGCAGUGCCCGCUGCCUGACCCUUUACCUGACUCCUGCGUGCCAAGCUGUUUCCUCACCUGUGAAAUGGAGCCAGUAACAGACUACGUCUCCUGGCCUCCUUGUGUGACUGAAGUGACAGUGAGCAAUGAGAACCCCUGCUGCCAUCAUCUGGGCACCGUGGAGAGGGUGGGGAGGAGGAAGGAGUAGGGGUAAAGAGGUAAGACCUGGGGAGAGACCCACACCACACCAGACCACACCAGACCAGACCAGACCAGCCGGGAGGGCGGGCCUGCAGGCGGCGCAGGAAGCAGGAGGGCCCUGGGCCUGGGCCUCUGCCCCCUCUGCCUGGAGAGGGGCGGGCACACUGGAGCGCUUGCAGACUGCUGAGAAACAGCAGCUUCAGAGGACGGUCAGCACACUGAGGGCGGGAAGGACCUCCAGCUCCAGCCUCCAGUGCCCAAGCCCCCCCCCCCAAGCCCCCCACCACACAGAAUGGGCCAGGGGACACACAGCCGGAUGCCCAGAGAGUCCCAAGAAUUACCACUAGAAAAAAAGAGCCCACCUGCCCAUGUGGCCACAACAUCUGUUUGGAGGCCCCCAGGAGAGGGAGGAGGAUGGAGGCAGGGGGAAUGGCCUGUAAGGCCAGCUCCAGGGGACCUACCACCUGCAAAUCCACAGGUUUAAUUAAAGGGCGUCGGGAGAGAGCUGGCAAGCGCCAGCCCCAAGACCAAACUUCUGAGAAGCCCGGAAGAGGGGACCCGGAGGUGACCUCUGACCUCAUGACCCCCGCCCCUACACACACACCAACGCGGCCCGCGGCCGACUUCGGAAGAGCCUGGGUCGUCUGCCUGGGUCAUGGGCGUGGGCGCCGGCAACGGGCUCAGAGGUCACCUCUGAGGUCCUCGGAUAAGGGGCUUGAGCAACAAGACUUCAGCUCCGCAGGGUCAGAGCAGCGGAUGACAGAGACACAGUCCUGUGGUUUGGCAUGUCGUCACAUGGUUCAGGAGCUGCAAGGUGAGGGACACUAAGGCAGACCUCCAGGACCAACAGAAGUGCUGCCUGCAGAAGGCUGUGGGACAGGUGGCAGCCAAGGAAGGGCUGAGUGCCUCCAGGACAGCCCCGCAGCCUCCAGCCUCCGGACUCCUGCUGGCCCGUAAGUGCUAUGGACCCUCUCAGCCCUGCACACUCCACCCCGCCCCCACCCCACCCCCACCCUGGAAAUUGGGGCUUCUACAGAUGACAAGGUGAGCAGAGACAGACUAGUCUCUGGGAACUUCCAACCCAGGGUGAGGCCACAGAAGCCGUCCACCAGGCCCCCAGGUCCUGUCCUGGCGGCACUGGGGUCACUGCGUGGAUGAGGACCCACAGAGGGUCUAGAGGGGUGACUGCCCCCAGCAGGCGGUGGAGACUGGGUGCGGGGGGGGGCGGGGGCGGGGCCUNAUCGUUCCCACCACUUUGUUUUCUAAAUAUCAAAGGAAGUCUUUCUUCUUUAACGGAGGACAUUUGGGAAACAUUGAGAAGUUUUAAAAGACAACAGAUAACCAGCAACCUGUCCCCCAGGGUCACCCACAGGAUUUGGUGCGGUUUCUGGGUCUGGGUGUGAGUCUACUGCACGUGCGCGUUUUAAAUGCUAAUGCUUUCGCCACGAACUUCCAGGCCUGUGCUUCGGGCUGGCGCUGGGGCGGUGUCUAGCUCUUCGCAUGGACAAUCCUGUGAGCUAAGCGCUCUCUCUACUCCUGUUUUGCUAAUGAGAGUACCGCAGCUCUGGAAGGAAGUGCAGCCAGCCUAGGGCCGGCUCAGCCAGGGCUCCCAGCAGGCCCCCGGGGUGCCGCCCGUGGGCCUCCUGCCUCCAUUCUGAGCAUUGUGAGUUAGACGUUGUGCACUGGCAGCCUGGUGCUGGCUGAUAGGUGGGUGGGGUGGCCACGGUCCCCUCUUGAGGGCUCUGAUUAGCACUGCAGCCCCUCUGUGUGUGCCAGCGAGGGUUUCCUUGGCUCAGGAAGGCCCGGCCUGGCAUCUGGUCCCAUGGCUGAUCCAGAGAGCAUCGAGCUGGGGGCAAGAGGGAGGUCACAAGAGAGAAAUCUGCGAACUGAUGAGCCACGGAGGUUGGGUCUCAGGAGUGGGGGCCCGGGUGCACUUGGGAGCAAGGCGGAGAACCAGUGCCGGGCACCUCUGUCCUCCCCUGGAUGCCACAAGCCUUCGGCGACCCUGCAGGCGGCUGAGUGUGGAAACCUGACCAUCCGGGGCUGGCCAUCCACUGAGGUGGGAUCUGGGGGAGCACCUUUCUCUUCCCAGGGCUCCCCUGGCCACGCACACCCCCAAACUCUGCUUGCUCCCUGAGGGGCUCUGGGAGUCUGUGCGAGCUCUGCUGCAUCUGUUCUGGAAGACACCUUCCUCCUCCUUGCAAGGCUCAUCUCGAGAGUUAAGGCCCAUCAGACACACCCAAACCCAGACACUCAGCCAGCUGCCUCCCCGACUGCCCACCUGCAUGGCUGACGGCCGUCCCUGUGCCACGGCCAGACAGGGCCCCUUGCCACGCCCCAGACCUGCUCCCCCUGCGUCCUCUGCUUUGGCGAAUGGCCGCCUAUUCCUCUGGGCAGGUCAGGGCAAGCACCUCCUUACCCCUCACCUCUCUCACGUCCCGGGUCCCGCCUGUCCCGUAGGCCCACAGCACCACGUUACUGCGGCAGCCCCGAAGCUGGGCUCCCCCGUCUCCCCCACCCCAUUGCCCCUGUCCAGGUCUUGUACCCCACAGGAGCUCUGUGAGAACAUGUCAGAUCACAGCCCCCCCUCUGCUCAGAUCCCUCAGUGCCCCCUCAUCUCCCUCCCACACAGAACUUGAGUCCAAGUCCUCACAAUGGCCAAGACCUGGGUCCCCACCCUCACUCACCCCUCCUUGGUCCCUGUGCAGCUCCAGCACCCCAACUCUGCUCCAGCCACACUUCCUCCAUGGGGCCUCCGACUGCUGGCCUCCUUCUGCCCCAGGGACUUUGCACCUGCUGUUCCCACUACCCAUACCCCCUCGCCAUGUCUUUGAGACUACUCACUUCCUUUGGGUCUCUGCCCAGUCAUCCCUAGAGCCUGGGCCUUCCCAACCUUCCCAUAUAAGAGAGCCAGAUGGGCCGUUGCCAGCUGGCCCAUCCCUGGUGCUAUUCCACUCUGACACAGCCCCCUUCUCCCCCACCCCAUGGGUACUGGCUCCCCAUAUUGCUCACCACCCUAUUCCUGGCCCAGUGGGGUGCCUGGUACAGGUCAGGUGACCAUAGACAUCUUUAGAGUGUGGGAGCCUAAGGGGUGCUGUGCCCUCACUGAGGAGGGAUGGGAACCCCUAUCCACCUGCCGGAGUUUCGGUGCCUGUCUCCUGCCGGCCGAGUGUCCAGUCUCCAGUCAGCAGGACGGAGCAGGAGGCAGGGGACCCCAGUGUCAGACCCCUGCCGGGUCUGCCGGUGUGAGAAGAGACUCCAGCCCCAUAGAUGGCUGAGCAGGAAAGCGGUGCCUCCCCAGGACGUGUACCCAGGGUCCUGUCGGCCGGAGCUGAGUGCGAGCUGGACACCCACAGUGCGUCCUCGCACCUGGGAGCCGGGGCCAGGCCUGUGAGGGGACAGCGAAGGGCGGAUGUCUGCCCUCCUCGCUCCACGCCUGCCCAUCAGCACAGAAGCAAGGACACCAAAAGCCUUUGGUGCCACGGUGUUUGCGCUGUCAGGUGGGAGCCUCUCUUAUCGUCCAAAGAGGAGCUCACCAGGGCCAAAGUCAAGGUCCGACUGUGGGUCCCUGACCCUCCCUUGGAAGCUGCCCCAGGUGGGCUCUUCUUCAGCCCUAAUGGGGAGCGGCCCGUGGAGGGUUUUCCUGCAGUCACCCCGAGCACCCGUGUUCCUAGCAAAGGCUAAGUUAGGAAAGACCCCAACCCCGCUGCCAGAGAAGCGGUGAGGCUCCACUUCCACCCCCUUCCCCCAGGAGGCUCCAGGAGAGGCCCUGGCCGCCCCUGUGCGGCCACACGCCAGCAGUCCACAAAGGACCCCUUUGUUACAAUCCUGCUCUGUGCCAACCAGGCAGCGGGGAGGGGGUGCUGAACACCCAGGCACGCGGGCCGUCCCCUCGCAGCCAGUGUUUGAGCAGGGCCCCCGGUCUCACCCCAGACUCGGGGAGCAGCAGCCUGCGAUGCCGCAGACCCCAGCCUCCAGACUUGCAGUCCGAGUCCGGCCCCCACCUUGAGCGGUUGGGUUUUGCCGAGGCCAGCACCUCUUUUAAUAUGAAACAGUCCAACGGGAUCCUGUGGCCUACUCCCACCAGGACGUCUGCCCGGGACCCCAGGGUGGCACUGCUGAGCCUUUGGGGGGAGGCGGGGUCCACACCUAAGGGCCACCCAGGGCCACAGCGUGACAGGAUUCUCGGCUCGCCGAGUCGAAGCGUGGAUCUCGGGGGACACGAAGGGUGAAGUGAAGUGAAAGUUUAAGUGAAGGUGAGAGCAGAAUGGGAAGAGGAGGGAACUCUCCAGAGCAAGGGGCCUCCGUGGGUUGUCACCAGAGGCGGUUAGCGCCAGCCUUUCGUGGAACACUGACCAGGGAACUUGGUAAAUACCUUGUCUACACCGUGGAAGAGGGACCUGAUGUUUUCCUAAAUACCCUGAGCACAAACAAGGUGUCCCUUCUGCCUGGUAAUACCUUGUCGUUUCUCCACACCUGGGAUUCUGUGAGCCUGGUCACUAGCCCCCUGCCCCUCUCUCCCACCCCUGACUCAACAAGGCCCAGGCCACCCUCCAGCCACAGCCCAGCUUGGGACAUCAGGCCCUGGAUCCUGCCUGGGCUCCUGCCUGGGCGGCAAUGGCCAACCUUGAGCACAGCCCACACCCCUCCCCAGGAAACAACCUCACUUUUGUUCCUGCG